UCAGGGGUGAGUGCCGGGACUGGAUUGCUCAGUAGCAGGGAUGUGCGUGCAGUGCCGGGCCGCGGCUGCGGGCGCCGCUGUUCACCACGGAGGAGAGGAAGGAGCGGAGCGCUGCAGCCAGCCCCGCCCGCUGCGGCCCGGCUCGCUCGCUCUCUGUGUCGGCGGCCGGGCGGUCUGCGGGCGGCCCCGCGGUGCGGAGCCGAGCUGCAGCGAGGCGGAGGGACCGGAACCGCGGACGGGAACCGAAGCGGGAGCGAGAGACUGAGCCAGAGUCGGAGGCGAAGAGUCGGGGCGGCGGCGGGGAGCUGUCGGCGGGCGUCCGGUGGCGGCAGGGCCGUGGCGGAGAUGUGCGCGGCGAGAGAAGGGCGCUGGGGCCGGAGGCAGCGAGCGCUGCUGUGCUGCGGGUUGGGGGCGGCGGGGGAGGCGGCGGGGGGGCAGCUGCGCCCCCCGGUGCCCGGGGGGCUCCCCCAGGGCCCUUUCG
rnacentral:lncRNA from 1 species